rnacentral:rRNA from 1 species
GACGAACGCUGGCGGCGUGCUUAACACAUGCAAGUCGAACGGUAAGGCCCUUCGGGGUACACGAGUGGCGAACGGGUGAGUAACACGUGGGUGAUCUGCCCUGCACUUCGGGAUAAGCCUGGGAAACUGGGUCUAAUACCGGAUAGGACCACUGCCUGCAUGGGUGGUGGUGGAAAGCUUUUGCGGUGUGGGAUGGGCCCGCGGCCUAUUAGCUUGUUGGUGGGGGGAUGGCCUACCAAGGCGACGACGGGUAGCCGGCCUGAGAGGGUGACCGGCCACACUGGGACUGAGAUACGGCCCAGACGCCUACGGGAGGCAGCAGUGGGGAAUAUUGCACAAUGGGCGCAAGCCUGAUGCAGCGACGCCGCGUGAGGGAUGACGGCCUUCGGGUUGUAAACCUCUUUCAGCACCGACGAAGCGCAAGUGACGGUACCUACAGAAGAAGGACCGGCCAACUACGUGCCAGCAGCCGCGGUAA